UCGCUCAUCAAUUGGAUGUGAAAUGUUGAUUUGAUACCAUAUCACAGCCAGCUUUGAUGAGCGGUG
rnacentral:pre_miRNA from 1 species